AAGAAAAAAACGUAGCUACAUGCCAUGAAAAAAGAAGUUUGUCUAAUCAACUUGAAAAACAAAUUGAGCAGGUUCAGGAGACAAUACAGACACAUACAGAGACAGUGACCGGGUCUUCUGAAGACCACGAGGAAGGAAAUCCCUGACCGCAUCUCAAAAAACACAAGCAGAGAAGAGGAGACAGUGUAACUAUGGAAUGUAAACUCUGCUCACCAAAGAUGGUGGAGGUGGCUGCCUACAUUUACUCUGCUUCAAACUUGAGGAAACAUAGGAAACAUCCAUUAAAGAUGACAAACUACAAUAUGUUCACCUCUGCAACCACAUACAAACGAACCAAGGAACUAUCAAACACCUCUUCAACUUACAAGCAAGCAAUGAUGUCUGAUGAUGGCAGUGGGAGGAGCCAGAUGCAUCUCACAGGCAACCGUUGACAAGCUUGUCAUUCAGUUGAUCUGUGAUGGCCGACAGCCAUUCUCUUUGGUCAUACAAGCAGCUUUUAAAGAGUUGGUAACCACCCUGCUUCCUCAAUGCAAAGUCAUCUCCAGACCUACUGUUCGUUCAAGAAUACAUGAAGCUGCCAAUCACAUGAAGAAGACGGUUAUGACACAACAUGGCAGGGUUUUAUUAUGUUGCCACCACCACUAAUUGUUGGACAGCUCAUCAAAGGAGUUAUAUAGGGGUCACAUGUCACUGGAUAGAUGAAGAAACUCUGGUGAGACAUUCUGCUGCACUUGCUUGCAGGAGAUUGAAAGGUUCCCACACAUGUGAUGUGCUUGCAGGUGCCCUCGAUGACAUCCAUUAUGCAUACAGGAUCAGGGGGAAAGUGGUAAGAAUCACAACAGACAUUGGAUCAAACUUCAUCAAAGCAUUCAAUGUUUUUGGUGAGCAGAGCCAGGCAGUCGAGUCAGCAGACCGAGACUCAGAUGCUGAAGAGCCAGCAGAGCAGGUUGAAUACCAAGACACCUAUUCCAUCCUGGAAAAUGACAGUGGCCUAGAAUAUCAACUCCCUCAGCAUCAACGGUGUGCACGUCACCUGCUGAACCUGAUUGCAACAACGGAUUCUGUGUUGGUAGAAACAAAUAGUGAUAGCUAAAAAAGUUUGUCCAGGUUGUCUUUUGCCAUGUGGAAUAAAACUUGGCGGUCAACCUUAACUGCUAAAGUUGUAGAGAAUGAGUGCAAACUGCAGUUGAUCCGUCCAAAUCAAACACGUUGGAACUCAACUUACCUGGCUGUGGAGAGGAUCACAGGUAUCAUACAAGAGAAGGGGAAGGAUGCCAUAAGAAAUGUGUGUGAAGAAUUCAAAGUGAACAUGCUGAGCCCGGCAGAAAUGUCCUUCUUGAAUGUGUACUGCAAAGUUUGGUCUCAGCUUUGAACAUUCUACAGUCUGAGACCAACACAGAGUGUGGUGUCAGGAAAAUAACCUCACACUCAACGUCAACAAAACAAAGGAGAUGAUCGUGGACUUCAGGAAACAGCAGAGGGAGCACCCCCCUAUCCACAUCGAUGGGACAGUAGUGGAGAAGGUGGAAAGUUUUAAGUUCCUCGGCAUACACAUCACAGACAAACUGAAAUGGUCCACCCACACAGAUAGCAACGGCACCUCUUCAACCUCAGGAUUCUGAAGAAAUGUGGCCUGUCACCAAAACCACUCACAAACUUUUACAGAUGCACAAUCGAGAGCAUCCUGUCGGGCUGUAUCGCCGCUUGGUACGGCAACUGCUCCGCCCACAACCAUAA